CACGGGGGGAGCAAGCGUUGUUCGGAAUCACUGGGCGUAAAGGGCGUGUAGGCGGUCAGGUAAGUGAGAUGUGAAAUGCCCCGGCUCACUCGGGGACCGGCAUCUCAUACUGCUUGGCUUGAGUACGGGAGAGGAUGUGGGAAUUCCUGGUGUAGCGGUGAAAUGCGUAGAUAUCAGGAGGAACACCGGUGGCGAAGGCGCACAUCUGGCCCGAUACUGACGCUGAGGCGCGAAAGCUAGGGGAGCAAACGGG
rnacentral:rRNA from 1 species